rnacentral:rRNA from 1 species
GUACAAUUUAAAUCUCUUAACGAGGAUCAAUUGGAGGGCAAGUCUGGUGCCAGCAGCCGCGGUAAUUCCAGCUCCAAUAGCGUAUAUCAAAGUUGUUGCAGUUAAAAAGCUCGUAGUUGGAUUUCUGGUGGGAGCACGGGUCGGCCCUCACGGGUUGUACUGUUGUUGCGUCCUGCCGUUUCGGAGGGAAUGGCCUCGCUAUUAAGUUAGCGUGGUCGGGAACUCUGUCGUUUACUGUGAAAAAAUUAGAGUGUUCAAAGCAGGCCUUCGCUGUGAAUACAUUAGCAUGGAAUAAUAAGAUAGGACUGUAGUGCUAUUUUGUUGGUUUGCGUACUAUGGUAAUGAUUAAUAGGGAUAGUUGGGGGUAUUCAUAUUCAAUUGUCAGAGGUGAAAUUCUUGGAUUUAUGGAAGAUGAACUACUGCGAAAGCAUUUACCAAGGAUGUUUUCAUUAAUCAAGAACGAAAGUUAGGGGAUCGAAGAUGAUUAGAUACCAUCGUAGUCUUAACCAUAAACUAUGCCGACUCGGGAUGGCCGACGUUGAUUUAAUGACUCGGUCAGCACCGUAUGAGAAAUCAAAGUCUUUGGGUUCCGGGGGGAGUAUGGUCGCCAGGCUGAAACUUAAAGGAAUUGACGGAA